GUCACGGCGGUUUUCUGAUUCGCUUGGUACAGGUCGGGAACGGCGUCGCCGGCGAUGGCAGUUUUGUAACUUUGCGCACCGGAAGGUGAAACGGUGUCGUAGAGGAUUUGUUUUCGGUGAUUACUGGUCCCGCCUUGGAUCAACUGAAUCAGAAACCGGAGUGAAU
rfam:Helianthus annuus linkage group 13, whole genome shotgun sequence.